AAUAGGUUAGUGUAGUAGUAUUAAGCCCUACUUAAUGCGUAUCCAUUUGUCUCCUAUCUUAGGGUGGCAAGAAGGACAUAGAAAUGAGAAAGAAGAGAUUUCAGUUGGGAAGUCAGAAAUUUAGAUGAGAAUGUACGGGGACUCGGGCCUCUCAGUUUAAAUUAGAAGUAGGUCCAUCUUAGCCCAGUUCUUGGUAUACAGUUGGAUCUCAGGAAAUAUAUAUUGAAUGCAUGAAUUCUCUUCGCAUCCCUGAAAAUUUCAGUGUAUCCCAAAUCAGUGGGUGUGGAUUAAAAAAAAAACAGUCCAAGAAAUUAUCUCUUCUUUUCCAGCUAAAGGGAGAGAAAAAGGAGCCCUAGAAUAGUUGUGGAGAAAAUGCCAGUUAAAAAAAAAUUAUAGCAGUCCAAAACCCAUGCAAGCUCCAGUCAUGAAACUGUAUUUGCAUAGCAAUAGUAGCAGUGGUUAUACAGCCACCUAAAACUGUGAGAUAAAAUCCUGCUCUUUGAC
rnacentral:lncRNA from 1 species